AUAUCCUCCCAUAUACUUUUACUGCUAUUGUCUGCAAUGGAUCCACCUCCACCGUCAAGCGCACCACUGCUGGCCCCACCUCCAACUGGGCCUGGAUUCUUGGACUGCUGUAUGUGGUUUCUGUGCUGCUGUGGUUUAUUCAGAAGCUGCUUCCCCCCACUCUUUGAGCCUGGGCCUCCUCCUCCCUAGUGCUGCAUUUGUUUUAUACCUUUCUUUCUUUUCUAUGAGGGGUUUGUUUUGUGUAUGUUACGGGAGAUACCAAAAAAAACAUGUUAGUUGACCAACUUCUUCUUUUCUACUCAUUGUAAACUCAAAUUUAUUUCUCUUUUACCCUUUCAUUCAUCUUCUCUGCUCAAUCUAAUAAUGUAUGCGGAUGCUUAAAUUCA